rnacentral:rRNA from 1 species
AUGAACGCAGGGCCAGGCCUAACACAUGCAAGUCGAGGGGCAGCACAGGUAGCAAUACUGGGUGGCGACCGGCGGAUGGGUAGCGUAACGCGUAUGCAACCUACCAUUGAUUGGGGCAUAGCCCGAAGAAAUUACGGAUUAAUACUCCAUAAUAUUCAUCAAAGGCAUCUUUUAUGAAUUAAAGCUUUUGCGAUCAAUGAUGGGCAUGCGUGACAUUAGUUAGUUGGUGAGGUAACGGCUCACCAAAACGAUGAUGUCUAGGGGUUCUGAGAGGAUUAUCCCCCACACUGGUACUGAGACACGGACCAGACUCCUACGGGAGGCAGCAGUGAGGAAUAUUGGUCAAUGGACGCAAGUCUGAACCAGCCAUGCCGCGUGCAGGAUGACGGCCCUAUGGGUUGUAAACUGCUUUUCCACGGGAAGAACCCUCCGACGUGUCGGAGACUGACGGUACCGUGGGAAUAAGCAUCGGCUAACUCCGUG